AUCGUAAGAUGAAGUAUAGGGGCUGACGCCUGCCCAGUGCUGGAAGGUUAAAAGGAGGACUUAGCUUCGGCGAAGGUCUUAAUUGAAGCCCCAGUGAACGGCGGCCGUAACUAUAACGGUCCUAAGGUAGCGAAAUUCCUUGUCGGGUAAGUUCCGACCCGCAUGAAAGGCGUAAUGAUUUGGGCGCUGUCUCAACAAUAGACUCGGUGAAAUUUAAAUUCCAGUGAAGAUGCUGGGUACCCGCGACAGGACGGAAAGACCCCGUGGAGCUUUACUGUAGCUUGAUAUUGAAUGUUUGUGCUGCAUGUGCAGGAUAGGUAGGAGACUUUGAAGUCGGAACGCUAGUUUCGAUUGAGUCACCCUUGAGAUACUACCUCUGUUGUAUGAACGUUCUAACUCUGAUCAGUUAUCCUGAUCGAAGACAGUGUCUGGCAGGCAGUUUGACUGGGGCGGUCGCCUCCUAAAAGAUAACGGAGGCGCUCAAAGGUUUGCUCAGAAUGGUUGGAAAUCAUUCGUAGCGUGUAAAGGCAUAAGCAAGCUUGACUGUGAGACUGACAAGUCGAGCAGGUACGAAAGUAGGACUUAGUGAUCCGGUGGUUCCGUAUGGAAGGGCCAUCGCUCAACGGACAAAAGCUACCCCGGGGAUAACAGGCUCAUCUCCCCCAAGAGUCCACAUCGACGGGGAGGUUUGGCACCUCGAUGUCGGCUCAUCGCAUCCUGGGGCUGUAGUCGGUCCCAAGGGUUGGGCUGUUCGCCCAUUAAAGCGGUACGCGAGCUGGGUUCAGAACGUCGUGAGACAGUUCGGUCCCUAUCCGUCGUGGGCGCAGGAAAUUUGAGAGGAUCUGUCCUUAGUACGAGAGGACCGGGAUGGACAUACCUCUGGUGUACCAGUUGUUCUGCCAAGAGCACCGCUGGGUAGCUACGUAUGGAUUAGAUAAUCGCUGAAAGCAUCUAAGUGAGAAACUAACCUCGAGAUGAGAUUUCCCAUUCGUCAGAAGUAAGACCCCUGAGAGACGAUCAGGUAGAUAGGCUAGAAGUGGAAGUGUAGUGAUGCAUGGAGCGGACUAGUACUAAUAGGUCGAGGACUUAACCAAG
rnacentral:rRNA from 1 species